GAGAGGUGCAUCAUCAUCAUCAUCAACAACAUUGUGGAGAAUCCCCUCCCCCUCUAACCUUCCUCUACCUGCCUCACUGCUUCCUGCAUGGGCGGAGCCUCAGAAUCAAUAUAGGCUGCCAGCUCACCUGUGGCAAACUUUUAAGAACAAAGAAGCUGGCUGGCCUCAUGUGGAUGUGUCAUCAGAAUAGUUUGAUCUGUGUAUAUGAUAUGUCCCAGUGCAGUUUCAAGCAUCGCCUGCAUUAGGAAUAUUUAAUUGUUGGACUCCAGUCAGACAUCCGGAGCACAGAGUAUGCUGAGGCUUUAGACGACUACUGUAGGUCCGUUCUGUCCUGCAGUCCCCAGAGAUGUGCAUCAACGCUGGGAAACGGGACAGCAGUGUAUCCCCCUGAGAUGACAUGCAUCAAGAUGCUGCCAGUGUGUGUUGCCCUUAAGACAUUCUUCAUUGUUACAUAUUCUGUUCAUUCAGUCAAAAACAACUGUUUAAAUGCCUUAUACUGAGUAAAUGUACAAUUAUUUAUAUUCUGAAUUUUAGUACAGCAGCUAUUCUGUCUCCUCAUCUUUAUAUGUUGAUGUGUUAUAUGGCAAUGCAAUGAAAAUAGUUAAAAUAUUUACAAAACAA